CAGUAGCCGCGGGAAUACAGAGGGUGCAAGCGUUAAUCGGAAUUACUGGGCGUAAAGCGCGCGUAGGUGGUUUGUUAAGUUGGAUGUGAAAGCCACGGGCUCAACCUGGGAACUGCAUCCAAAACUGGCAAGCUAGAGUACGGUAGAGGGUGGUGGAAUUUCCUGUGUAGCGGUGAAAUGCGUAGAUAUAGGAAGGAACACCAGUGGCGAAGGCGACCACCUGGACUGAUACUGACACUGAGGUGCGAAAGCGUGGGGAGCAAACAGGAUUAGAUACCCGAGUAGUCCCUGUCUCUUAUAC
rnacentral:rRNA from 1 species